rnacentral:rRNA from 1 species
AACGAACGCUGGCGGCAGGCUUAACACAUGCAAGUCGAGCGCCCCGCAAGGGGAGCGGCAGACGGGUGAGUAACGCGUGGGAACAUACCCUUUGGUUCGGAAUAACUCAGGGAAACUUGAGCUAAUACCGGAUACGUCCGUAAGGAGAAAGAUUUAUCGCCAAAGGAUUGGCCCGCGUCCGAUUAGCUAGUUGGUGAGGUAACGGCUCACCAAGGCUACGAUCGGUAGCUGGUCUGAGAGGAUGAUCAGCCACACUGGGACUGAGACACGGCCCAGACUCCUACGGGAGGCAGCAGUGGGGAAUAUUGGACAAUGGGCGAAAGCCUGAUCCAGCAAUGCCGCGUGAGUGAUGAAGGCCUUAGGGUUGUAAAGCUCUUUACCCGGGAUGAUAAUGACAGUACCGGGAGAAUAAGCUCCGGCUAACUACGUGCCAGCAGCCGCGGU